UACGUAGGGUGCGAGCGUUGUCCGGAAUUAUUGGGCGUAAAGGGCUCGUAGGCGGUUUGUCGCGUCGGGAGUGAAAACACUGGGCUUAACUCAGUGCUUGCUUCCGAUACGGGCAGACUAGAGGUAUUCAGGGGAGAACGGAAUUCCUGGUGUAGCGGUGAAAUGCGCAGAUAUCUGGAGGAACACCGGUGGCGAAGGCGGCAUCCUGGACCAACACUGACACUGAGGAGCGAAAGCGUGGGGAGCAAACAGG
rnacentral:rRNA from 1 species